ensembl:lncRNA
GAGGGAGAGGACAGAGAAAAAGGAAUGUGGAGGGAGAGAAAGAAAGAGAGAGGGAGAGGAAAGAGAAAAAGGAAUGUGGAGGGAGAGAAAGAAAGAGAGGGAGAGGACAGAGAAAAAGGAAUGUGGAGGGAGCGAAAGAAAGAGAGAGGGAGAGGAAAGAGAAAAAGGAAUGUGGAGGGAGAGAAAGAAAGAGAGAGGGAGAGGAAAGAGAAAAAGGAAGGUGGAGGGAGCGAAAGAAAGAGAGAGGGAGAGGAAAGAGAAAAAGGAAGGUGGAGGGAGCGAAAGAAAGAGAGGGAGAGGAAAGAGAAAAAGGUAGGAGUGAGAAACAGAGUGAAGUUUAUCAAAAGCAUGUCCAUUUCUCAUUUAGCACAUUUUCUACGCUUAUCUCCAGGCCCACUCUCCCAUCCCACUACUGCUGCAGCUCUCCCGCCUCGCGCACUGCCAUGCAGAGGUGGGCAAAAUCAAUUUUUGCAGAUACAUUCUUGCAAUUACAUCACUUACUCUGUUUAAGAUAAGAUGCAUGAAUUGGACUACUCUUGAAGCACCAGAUUGAAUUAUUCAUUUGGUUUACUCAACUCUGUCUCUCUCUUCCCCCUUCUCUCUCUCCUCCUCUCUUUCUCUCUCUCCCUCCCCCACCUCUCUGUCUCUCUUGGUCCCGGGUCCCAUGGUCCCAGGGGAUGAAAUAUGAGUGUGUUUAGCACUCUUCAAUAGAGAGCACAGGACAUGGGAGGGGUCACUGGGCCUCUAAUGCUACCCAAUAAAUAUCUGCUGCUCCUAGCCUCGUCUGUGUUGGGAGAGGGGGGAAUAAGCUCUCUCUGUCUUUCUAUCUCUCUCUCUGAGUGUAUGGCUUCAUUAGUGUAUACAGGGGGAGAAGACGAGAAAUGAAAGUAGAUAGCUGAGUGCAUGGGAGCAUAUGCAUUCAUCGUGUGGGUUGUUUAUGGUAGUGUUUUAAUGUUUCUGUGUUUGUGAGAACAGAGUCAUCCAUAUAGAUUUGAGCCACCAGUCUAAUAUUGGUCUUUACUUAUUUCAAGACAGCCAGUAUUGAUUGAAGGGAGUCUUUAGCAUUGAUUUAUGUUCACUCAAUGUAAUGGGGAGAUGUGCUGGGAACACGGUGAUAAUAGGUGGCUCUGAUUGACAGUGCUCACUGUCUUGUGACACUUUGUGUGACAGCGUGGUCUUAUACCAGAUAAUGGUGGUGGACUCAAGUUCUUUACAGAUCACUGUAUAGGCCUACUGGAUUUCCCUAAAAGCAUUCCCUACUGUAGAACAUUCCUUGGGGGGAAAUUCCUCUUGUCCUUCUCCCCAGCUCACCACAUGUAUUGCCCAUUGUCCUUAAAGCUGGAUUCCGUCAUUGUGAAACGGCCACGUCCGUUUGGGAUAUUACAACAACAAAGAAGUUACUGCAAACAACAAACACUGUUUUUCCCCCUCUGACAUGAGAGGCUCCUUCCUCGUUUCAACAACAAACACUGUUUUUCCCCUCUGACAUGAGAGGCUCCUUCCUCGUUUCAACAACAAACACUGUUUUCCCCUCUGACAUGAGAGGCUCCUUCCUCGUUUCAACA